rnacentral:lncRNA from 1 species
GAAAAUGGAGGAAGCAGCCAUGGCAGCUGAGGCUCUUGCACUUGUUGAACUCAAUGCACUUGCUGGAACAAAGGGUUCGUCCGGAUUUUCCUUCCCGGAGCCGGAGUCGAAGCCGGAACAAUCUCCUCGAACUCCGAAAGUACUACAAAAGGCAGCAGAAGAGGUUUCUAACAGGGAAAUGAUUCAUUCAAUGCAUGAAUUUGAUGAAGCAAACAAUAUUUCUCAACUUACAAUCUUGAGAAAGCUUGAAGAAGCUUCAAAUGCAAUGAAAAAAAGUAAACAAGCAUUGGAAGAGGCUCUAAAAAGUGUUGAAAUCGCAAACAAGAAGCAGCUGGAUGCUGAAGAAUCUCUCAGGAAAUGGAACAAACAGGUGGUCUACAAUGGUUCAAAUAUCAACAAUCUUCAAAGACCUCCAUUAAAGGAUGUGAUGAUGAACAAGCAAAACCCAAAGCCUGUUCCAAGGCCAACAGUGUCAAUGAGGGAUAUGUUGAAAAAGGCUAAUGAAGGCCAAACUGAAAGACAAAAAGUAGCUUUGAGCCAAAUGCUAGAUGAACUAAAGCAAGAUUUGAGAUUUCACCCAAAAACAGCAGCUGGUGAUCAUGAUAAAAAACAUCAUGGUGAUGAUCAUCGAAAACAGGUUUUCACACAAAGGAGAAGAUUUGGGUUCAUCCACAUAUCACUC